rnacentral:rRNA from 1 species
CAUGCAAGUCGAGCGGGGAAAGGUAGCUUGCUACCUWACCUAGCGGCGGACGGGUGAGUAAUGCUUAGGAAUCUGCCUAUUAGUGGGGGACAACAUCUCGAAAGGGAUGCUAAUACCGCAUACGUCCUACGGGAGAAAGCAGGGGACCUUCGGGCCUUGCGCUAAUAGAUGAGCCUAAGUCGGAUUAGCUAGUUGGUGGGGUAAAGGCCUACCAAGGCGACGAUCUGUAGCGGGUCUGAGAGGAUGAUCCGCCACACUGGGACUGAGACACGGCCCAGACUCCUACGGGAGGCAGCAGUGGGGAAUAUUGGACAAUGGGGGGAACCCUGAUCCAGCCAUGCCGCGUGUGUGAAGAAGGCCUUUUGGUUGUAAAGCACUUUAAGCGAGGAGGAGGCUACCGAGAUUAAUACUCUUGGAUAGUGGACGUUACUCGCAGAAUAAGCACCGGCUAA